UAAGACGGAGGGGGCAAGCGUUGUUCGGAUUUAUUGGGCGUAAAGGGCUCGUAGGCGGACUGGUAAGUCUGGCGUGAAAUCUCCACCACUCAACGGGGAGGGGCCGUCGGAAACUGCCAGUCUGGAGUAUGGUAGAGGACCAUGGAAUUCCAGGUGUAGCGGUGGAAUGCGUAGAGAUCUGGAAGAACACCGGUGGCGAAGGCGGUGGUCUGGGCCAUUACUGACGCUGAGGAGCGAAAGCCAGGGGAGCGAACGGGAUUAGAUACCCCGGUAGUCCUGGCCGUAAACGUUGGAUACCAGGUGUGGGGGGUAUCGACCCCUCCCGUGCCGAAGUUAACACAUUAAGUAUCCCGCCUGGGGAGUACGGCCGCAAGGUUG
rnacentral:rRNA from 1 species